GUGGUGAGCGGUAGGGCAGCAGAGCCUUAACCUUUGCUAUCUGCAAAGCGGACAAACGUCACCUCUUUCCUGAAGUGCACCGCGACAGCUGAAUGACUCAAACAAAGCCUGGCUGCUGUUUACAGCGAGGAAUGCACACACAGAUCAAGCCCUGGCUCCUUGCUCUCCUGUCAAUGGAUGAAGCCCCUUUGCCCUCUUGUUCCCUGAAGAAACCUGGAGCUCGCUGCUUAGCGAUGCCGGUUGGCCAGUGGAUGCCAGGGUCCGUUGAUCUCUGCCUCCCCAGAGCUGAGACCGCAUGGUGGGUUCUGAGAAUCUGAAUUCAGGAUCUUUCUUGGCAAACACUUUACAGACUGAAUC